AUUGAACGCUGGCGGAAUGCUUUACACAUGCAAGUCGAACGGCAGCACGGACUUCGGUCUGGUGGCGAGUGGCGAACGGGCGAGUAAUGUAUCGGAACGAGCCAAGUCGUGGGGGAUAACGUAGUGAAAAUUACGCUAAUACCGCAUACGAUCUAUGGAUGAAAGCGGGGGAUCGAAAGACCUCGCGCGAUCGGUGCGGCCGAUAUCGGAUUAGGUAGUUGGUGGGGUAAAGGCCGACCAAGCCAACGAUCUGUAGCUGGUCUGAGAGGACGACCGGCCACACUGGAACUGAGACACAGUCCAGACUCCUACGGGAGGCAGCAGUGGGGAAUUUUGGACAAUGGGCGAAAGCCUGAUCCAGCCAGUCCGCGUGCAGGAUGAAGGCCCUCGGGUUGUAAACUGCUUUUGUACAGAACGAAAAGGUUUCUACUAAUACUAGGAGCUCAUGACGGUACCGUAAGAAUAAGCACCGGCUAACUACGUGCCAGCCGCCGCGGUAA
rnacentral:rRNA from 1 species